UACAGAGGGGGCAAGCGUUAAUCGGAAUUACUGGGCGUAAAGCGUGCGCAGGCGGUUUUGUAAGACAGGCGUGAAAUCCCCGGGCUCAACCUGGGAAUUGCGCUUGUGACUGCAAGGCUAGAGUACGUCAGAGGGGGGUAGAAUUCCACGUGUAGCAGUGAAAUGCGUAGAGAUGUGGAGGAACACCGAUGGCGAAGGCAGCCUCCUGGGCCAGCACUGACGCUCAUGCACGAAAGCGUGGGGAGCAAACAGG
rnacentral:rRNA from 1 species